rnacentral:rRNA from 1 species
CCUACGAGUGGCAGCAGUGAGGAAUAUUGGUCAAUGGGCGCGAGCCUGAACCAGCCAAGUCGCGUGAGGGAUGAAGGUUCUAUGGAUCGUAAACCUCUUUUAUAAGGGAAUAAAGUGUGGGACGUGUCCUAUUUUGUAUGUACCUUAUGAAUAAGGAUCGGCUAACUCCGUGCCAGCAGCGGCGGUAAUACGGAGGAACCGAGCGUUAGCCGGAUUUAUUGGGUUUAACGGGUGCGUAGGCGGCCUGUUAAGUCAGCGGUGAAAGUCUGUGGCUCAACCAUAGAAUUGCUGUGGAAACUGGGGGGCUGGAUUAUGUUCGAGGCAGGCGGAAUGCGUGGUGUAGCGGUGAAAUGCUUAGAUAUCACGCAGAACCCCGAUUGCGAAGGCAGCCUGCCAAGCCAUGACUGACGCUGAUGCACGAAAGCGUGGGGAUCAAACAGGAUUAGAUACCCCUGUAGUC